GGAACACGGGUCUUAUCUGCACCACAGCAUUCAAGUAAGACCCUCGCUCUUAGGACAGAGUCCUCAUUGAGCCGAUAAGGAGGGAUCAGUUGUAUUGACACGCGGGAGGCCGCGUGAUUCGAACCCCGCUCCGGCAGCCGUGGUGGUAUAGCGGUAGUGCCCCGCGCUUGCCUCGCAGGGCUCUGAUAACUGGAAUUUCCGGGCCAUCGGUACACCCAUCUUAACCCCUCGCUUUCUUUCCCACAGGCUGCUCCUUGGGCAGGAGUCAGCACAUCCUGCCCACGCUGCUCCCGUUCACCCACGCGAGGCCCGAACAGGGCUGUUUCCCAGGCACGGCAAACACUUCAUAAAUCUCUCGCUCUUGUCUCCCUUUCAAACAGUGCCAGCACUGCAAGUGGGUGCAGCUGGCAUGCGCACCCAGCUACGCCUUGUGCUGGGUGCCAGCUUUCUGGGCACGAACACGCCUUCUGGAAUGAGCUCGCUUGUCUCUUUGCAGAAGGGCACGGGGACCGUGAGGCCUGAGCCCGGGCUCUGGCUAGCAAGCAAAGCCCUUGGUGAACCAAUCUGUGUCCCACUCUUGGAUUCGUGACCGUACAGCACUUUCUACCCAUGGUCUCAAAAGGGCAUUGCAAGAAACAAAGCAUAGUCGGGCCCAUUUUGCAAGCGGGAACACACAAGGUGCAGCCAGCGGAAGUGAUUUGACCAAUGACGUGCGGUGAGUCAGUGGCGGAGUCAGGGUUAGAGUGCAGCAGCUGGGCAUCCUGGUGAGACGGAGUGGGCAACCGUGCCCAUGGUCUCUGCCCUGAGGGGUUUGCACACUGGGCAUUAGACCUCACGCAUAAAGGUAUAAUCGGCAAGCAGUCUUGUGGAUAUGAGAAACCCCAAUCGAAACCAGGUCCCCAGUGAUUAGUUAUCUAGAGGGAGAUGAGGCUGGACGAGUAGGGAGGAGCAGCAAGAGAAAGAAAUAAACAGCUAGGAGGCGAAGAGGCCCAAGGAACAGCACGGCGAUAAGAUCAUGCGUUUACUCUGUGUAGGCACCAUCCUCACUUCUUCCAGGUACUGUAGUGAGAGGGUGACGGUUGGCAAAGGAAGCCAGGAAACGGGGCUUUUCAACAGGAAGAAAUGGAACAAUUUAAUGUUCUUGUCCUUUGGGGUUUUUUUGAAGGGCUGGUUGCAAACCCAAAUGGUUGGAAAAUGUCUCGCUUGCAAAAUGGUAUCCAGCAAGGUGGAUGAGGGGCUCCUGCAGUUAGGCGACUUGGCACCCAAAAGCUCGUCUCCCUCCCAGUGAAAGAUGAAUGACACCCACAAGGAUCCAUGCCUCUCGCCUGCAGGGAGGUGACCGUUUUCAGGGACACUGUUUUCAGCCCCCAAAAAAGAGCUGACGUUCUUCAAUUUGCCAUUGCUGGAAACUGCUGGUGUGUCAGCAUUGGGGGUUCAGUGGAAACCUCCCCCCCCCGAAAAAAAACCAUGCACUUCCCACAGAAAUGUCAGCAUGGAAACACUUUUUUCCUGUUUUUUGGUUUUCUCAAAAGCCAAGGUUAUAACAUAAAUUUUUCCCAGCGCUAUUGGUAGGAUGGAUCUGCAUGCGGAGAAAGAGGUGACUUAGAAAACAGGAAUCUGGGGGCAGCUCCCAAUGGACAGGGGCAGGGAGCUUGGGGAAAACCAUGCAGGCAUUGAAGGGCGUUUCAGAAGGCCCAUCCGUUGCUGCGUGGUAGAUCUAGCACUCAUCAGCAAUGGUGCCCAGCAAAUAUGUGACGGUAACAACUCUGAGGUUAGAAAUAAGGGAAAGGGUGGGGGACAAAGACGAAGCUUUAUUAGGAAGAGCACAGGCGGCUUCAGCAACUUGGCACCUACAACGUAAAGAGACACUUCAGGUGUGAUGUCUCUGGGCUGGUUUUGCUUUAUUUGCUGCUCACGCGGGCAUAAAGACGCACUCCUGCAUGUAGCAGCUUACACGUGUCGGGGCCCUGACACGUUCCCUGCACAUUGCUGCUAGCUGUUGCGAUCGCAGCCUCUCCGCAUCACUACGCGAGAGUUUGGGACAGAAAGUGAGGACUGUGAUGUCAAAGGAGCGAGGCAAUCAUGGCACGAACUUCCCAUGUCGAGAACGGGUCCGGCACAGCUCACCCAGGUACCGACUACAUCGUGAUGUUUUGGUGGUAGCCCAAUGACCAGGGUGCAACCGGAGGCCAAGGCUGGGAGUCUGAUUUUUUGCUUAAUUAAUUCAAAGGAAGUGGCUCUUCCUUAACAGCAACCUGGCAGCCCAUUGCACAACUGCUUGUUUUAACCCUUCAGGGAGUGGGAAGAUCUUAGAGGACUUUCCUGGUGUCUAUCAGCCCCAUAAGCAUGAGUCCCGGGUGAGAAGGGAGCAGCAACACCCCCUGAAGACAGCACAGAUUGCCACCACUAAAGGAAAUGUUUGGGAAGUCUGAACUUCCUGCUUUCUUUUUUUGAAGCAUUAUAAAAAGAAAUAUGAAGAGAAAAACUCCUUCUGUAAAUCCGCAAGCUCAGCUUUUUUUUUUUUUGGCUCUAAGUUUUAUCAGGGGCCCCAACAAUGCCAGGCCCUGAGAACUAUUCAUUAAUGCUUAUAAGGUGCAGAGAUCAACCAGCGAGGAGUGCCACAAGAAGGAGCUUGAAUAAAUAAAAUAAUGUACCCAGCCCGUGGGAUAAUACAUGCUCCUGCAGCUGAGCAGGUGCACAAGUCUUUACAGGUUCAGGGCCCUGAAUGCACUGCAAAAAUGUUUGCAAAGCAGCUCAUUUACUGUCAGGCCAGAUGUUCUUCUUUGCUCUCAAGUGCAGCAACGGUGGAAGAUGCUGGCUGCAGCAUAAUCAGGAAUUAGCACAGGUGAUCUCCAGGCUGCUACCUGAUCCCAUGGAAAGCCAGGAAGGCAAAUGCUACAGUGAUGAAUACUAGCCUGUACCCUAAGUAAAGAGCUAGAGGGAGACAAAAAACACGCGGCACUGAGUUCAAAUUCAAUUAGAAAAGAGAGUGCAGGUGCUGUCUUCCCAGCUCAGACCCAAUCUGGGAUAUCCUCACACAGUCUCUGAAGAGCUCAGUGCAUACUUUCUUCAUUGUUUUGCCCAACUGCAGCACCGAAGGAACGCCAAGGGCAUCGUACCGGCUGGAAACAGCACAUGCACACAGUUCCACCCUCCUGCAAAAAAAAAAAAUCCUUUGAAUGAAGCUAAAUGUUUGGUGAACUCCCAUUAAAAAUACUCCUGAGGAAAUAGGGGGCAA